rnacentral:rRNA from 1 species
UACGUAGGGGGCUAGCGUUGUCCGGAUUUAUUGGGCGUAAAGAGCGUGUAGGCGGCCAGGUAGGUCUGCUGUGAAAACUCGAGGCUCAACCUCGAGAUGUCGGCGGAAACCAUCUGGCUAGAGUCCGGAAGAGGAGAGUGGAAUUCCUGGUGUAGCGGUGAAAUGCGCAGAUAUCGGGAAGAACACCCAUGGCGAAGGCAGCUCUCUGGGACGGUACUGACGCUGAGACGCGAAAGCGUGGGGAGCGAACAGG